rnacentral:rRNA from 1 species
AGCAGCCGCGGUAAUUCCAGCUCCAAUAGCGUAUAUUAAAGUUGCUGCAGUUAAAAAGCUCGUAGUUGAAUUUCGGGACUAAUAUGUCGGUCGUGCCUCGGUACGUACUGGUUUAUUGGUUUCUCCUUUCUGAAGAACCAUGAUGUCAUUUAUUUGGUGUCGUGGGGAAUCAGGACUGUUACUUUGAAAAAAUUAGAAUGUUUAAAGCAGGCUCACGCUUGGAUACAUUAGCAUGGAAUAAUGAAAUAGGACGUUUGAUUCUAUUUUGUUGGUUUCUAGGAUCGACGUAAUGAUUAAUAGGGAUAGUUGGGGGCAUUAGUAUUCAAUUGUCAGAGGUGAAAUUCUUGGAUUUAUUGAAGACUAACUACUGCGAAAGCAUUUGCCAAGGAUGUUUUCAUUAAUCAAGAACGAAAGUUAGGGGAUCGAAGACGAUCAGAUACCGUCGUAGUCUUAACCAUAAACUAUGCCGACUAGGGAUCGGAUGAUGUUAAUUUUUUUAAUGACUCAUUCGGCGCCUUAC